rnacentral:rRNA from 1 species
CAGAGGUGGCAAGCGUUGUUCGGAAUUACUGGGCGUAAAGGGCGCGUAGGCGGCCAUCUAAGUCAGACGUGAAAUCCCCCGGCUUAACCUGGGAACUGCGUCUGAUACUGGAAGGCUCGAGUUUGGGAGAGGGAUGUAGAAUUCCAGGUGUAGCGGUGAAAUGCGUAGAUAUCUGGAGGAAUACCGGUGGCGAAGGCGGCAUCCUGGACCAACACUGACGCUGAGGCGCGAAAGCUAGGGGAGCAAACGGGAUUAGAUACCCCGGUAGUCCUAGCCCUAAACGAUGAAUGCUUGGUGUGGCGGGUAUCGAUCCCUGCCGUGCCGAAGCUAACGCAUUAAGCAUUCCGCCUGGGGAGUACGGUCGCAAGGCUG